AUGUGUUCGCGGCUCGGGUCAGCCUUCCACGCCAUCCUCCUGCCUCAGCUUCCCCCAGUACUGGGAUUACAGACUUUAGGGGGAGGGGGUUCAUGUUUAAAAAUAAAUAGCCAGGCUGGUUACACAUGCGUGUGAUUCCAGUGCUCACAAGGCAGAGAGGGGACGAUCAAGGCUAAUUUGAGGCUAGCCUGAUCUACAUAACAAGAUCCAGACUGGGUAGGACUACAUAGUGAAACCUUGUCCCCUUCCAUCACUAAAAAAAAAAAAAAAGUGGGGGAGUGAAAGGACUAACCCUGUGAAAGUGCUUACCACCGAGCCUGACAGCCUGCAGUCAGAGUCAAUCCCCAGCACCCACAUAAGCUCCUGAAGUUCUGUCGUUCCUCAUGGCCUCCAGUUCAGGAAGCUUCUAGAACAUGUGGCACCUCUACAAUGGAAACAAGAUCCGCAUCAUCAGCUUCAGAUGUGUUCUUGGAACCCUGAGUUCGCCUCGGCAGCUGUCCGAAAGUUAAUCCUGUGAAGGGACCUGAAGCAGACCCUCUGCGGAAGUCCCAAGCACCCACGAAGAACAUCGCAGUGUAUUCAUUCCCCUUCCGGUGGCCUCGGGAUCCAAGCAGGAAAGAAGAGGGAAGAACUCUGAAGGACACGAGCGACCCAGCUUACAGUCCAGACAAUAUUUGAGAGAGAGCCGCGUCUUGUCUUUUGCAUUCUCCAAGGAGUCUCCAAGUGCCAAAACACUGAGGGAAGGGCUGUGCCUCGGUAGCUGUGUGUCACUAUGGACUCUGUGGUAUAGGAGACGGGCUCCGGCCAUUUGCCUUUGAAGAUGAACUUUUCCUUUCCCAGACAGUUUUCAUACAGGGCGGUAGGAGAUUUCUUAUUGCUAUACCUUCCACCCUAGCCCUGACCCUCGCCGCCAGCCCGCCUAGCCAUAUUAGCUCAGAAGAUCCAUAAAGGGGAAAGAGCCCCUGUCCCCUCCCCUCUGCUUGAACAUGUUAUUAGUUUGAGUUGUGUUAGGAUGCAGGAGUGACCUUGGGAAAAGGGGCGCUUGGUGACUAAGCAAGAAUGGGCAUGGGUGUGCUGACUCACCACAGGCAGCUUGCAUGGGAGGCUGGCUCGAGGACCACCCUCAGGGUGACCUUGGAGGACUGCAGGCUCAGAGCCAGAGACCCAUACCUGUCGGGCAAACUGUAACUUCCAAACUUAGUAGGCAGACAGUUUAUGGAGAUAACACAGAGAUGAAGGAGUACACUGAGCUGUUCCCUAAGGGGGCCCCAGGCGAAGGUCAUAGCCCUUUCUUUUCACCUACAGCUGAGUUCUGGGUCCCACCAAGGAUAGAACUCCCCUUCCUUGUUGGCUAUGAAAAUUUCUUAAUGACUCUAAAUCCCAAUUUCCCCUAUGACCACAGCACCGCUUCCAACCUUCUUCCCAAGCAAGUGCGUUAAGAGAUGGAGAUGUAGCUCAAUUGGUAAGGUGCUUGCCUAGCGUACAGAGACCCCUGGUUCCCUCUGGCGAUGCUUCAUAAACCAGGUGUGGUGGUACGCUCUUGUAAUCCCAGUACUUGGGAACAUGUGGGCAGGCCACAUCCGAAUCCAUUGUCUCCUGUGUACUGGACUCUGGCUCUGGAAAUAAGUUGCUGGGAUGUAAUCUGUGCUGAGUCUCUAGAACAGCGUCCCCAGCUGGACCUAGAAUGACUGUCCCGAGUCACAUUCAACAAGAAGAAGCGCAACAGGGUAGAAGAGACAGAAGUGGAGAAAGGGCAGGUUCUGAAGGAACAAAGGCCUAGGAUGAAAGGUAAUCCAGGCCCCUUCUAAAGCGGGCGGGCACUCAGGACAUCAGUCUAGAAAGCUGUAAAGAUCCCCCUGCUGAUCUUGGCAGCACACACCUGUAAUCCCAGCACUUAGGGGAUAGAGGCAAGGCAGGGCACUCAAGAGUUCAAAGUCAUCCUCGGCUACAAAGUGAGUCUGAGACUAGUCUGGAUGUCAUAAUUGAAAUCCUUCCUCCACACAAACAAACAGAAGCUGUUUAGGCCCCGGGCUGUGUUUCUCAUUGCCCUACUUCCUGAUCUAAGGUUACCAGCAAGGCUCCCAGCUGUUCCUUUGAGCCAGCUGUGUCUUCAUUGAGGUCACUGUCAUUCUGUCAUCCCCCCAUCUCUGUGUGAGAAGAUCUCUCUAUUUAUUUAUUUAUUGGUUUUUUGAGACAGGGUUGCUCUGUGUAGCCCUGGCUGUCCUGGAACUCACUCUGUAGACCAGGCUGGCCUCGAACUCAGAAAUCUGCCUGCCUCUGCCUCCCACGAGCUGGGAUUAAAGGCAUGCGCCACCACUCCCGGCUUUUUGAGAAGAUAUUUUAAGAGUACCUAAUUUGUAAGUGCUCACAGUGACCUGUGGGUCCCAGGCAGUGUCUCAUUGAAUCGUCUCAACAAGCUUUGGAAUAAGACUUUGGUGGCCUCCUGUUACAACUGAGGGAAAUAGAUGUAGAGAGCUUCCCUCAGCUUGCUCAGAUCCAUGCAACUCCUGAGCGGAGGAGCCAGAACUCAAAUCUGUAUCCUCCCCUGCACCUGUGACCUCAGAAGUCCUAGUGUUGGGUUGCGGGAGUUUCACUUAAAUUUGCUGGGAUAAGCAGCCCAAUUUCUGGACUCUGUGGCCCUUUAAAAAUCCUACUGCUUCCACAAUCUCUUCUUUAGCCUGCCCAAACCUAUCUAAUGCUUUACAGGAACAUAUAUGCCCAUGAGAGGCAUGAGCUAAGGCAGUGAGAAGCUGUGACGCAGAUUCCGACACCAGCCCUCAGUACAUACCGUGUGCGCCCCACAUGGUAUACAGAGCAGGGUCCAGGUGCCAAGGCCAAAGUGAGUCUCAGCCUGUAACGAGAACGAGGCAGAUGUGCCUCCAGAGAGAAAAAAGAACACACGGAGAUGAAAUCUGGGCUUGGGGGCAAAAAGGAAACGUUUAAAUGUGUACCUUGUGAAGGAUUACACUCCCCACCCUACCAUCACCAGAUUUUGUAUGUAAGGUACUGUAUGUAGAUUGAACUCUGGACCUCACACAUUCUGGAAAUCGCUCUCCCACUGAGCCACGCCCACAGCCCCUCAGUGGGGGAUUCUGGGCAGGGGCUCUACUGCUGAGACAUGUCCCCAGCUCUCUUUUGACUUGAUUUUUGAGACAAGGUCUUACUGAGUUGCCCAGGCUGGCCUGAAUCUCACUCUGUAGCCCAGGCUGGCCUUGGACUCACAUUCUUCCCCCUGCUUAGCCUGUCAAGACCCCGGGAUCAUAGACUUGCCUCGUUCUACCCAUUUGCUGCUGCUCCUAAUACCUUUAAACCAGUCUUUCCCGACCCCAGAAAGCCUUCCUAGCUUAGUAUUGUAUUAAAUCCAGUGAUGAGAACGGCAUCUUUUCCCUGCUCCUCCACAUGAGGGCGCUACACCACUCAGCCAUGGGGUGAUGUGUUCAAGCCUCUCCCACAACCUUUAUGGGUGCAUUUCUUUUCUGUGUGUUCUCUAAUGAGAAGCACUGGGCCAUCUCUGCAUGGUUUUUCUGGCCAGCUUCUCUUGUAGCUCUCUCUCCCAACAGACAACCACAUUCAGCACAACCCCUCACUUGUGCACUGACUGCAGUGGCCGGUCCUUGUGACCAGCCAGAUGACUUAGAUAAUAGGGGAGUUUGAAAUAGGAUGAGCUGAUAUCGGCUGUCUGUAGGUUAGGAUUCUGACCAAAGGUUCUUCGAGGCACUAGGGAAAGGGACUAAUUGACAUACCUCCAGGAGCAUAGGGCUUUUCUCCAGUGUGAAUUCUCUGAGGUUGAAUGCUUUUUGUGACUCUUCAAAGCUCUCAAGUGGUCACUGCUGUUGGCAGCUUUGCAGAAGUAGCCAGGAUGCCUGGAUGAUGCCUGACUCCUCCCACACUCUCAGGACUCUCUCCCGGGGGAGUGUGGCAGCAGUGUUAAGCAGGUCCAGAGCCUCUAGGAAACUGCUUUGUGUUCCCAAGAGCGAUGUUGUUCCUGCUGUUACAACUGUUACAAUGUUAAAUAAAUAAACUUGAUCCAGACGC
ensembl:lincRNA